GAUGCUAGCUGUAUUCGGUAUCGACCCCGGAUGUAGCGAAGCUAACGCGUUAAGCAUCCCGCCUGUGGAGUACGGUCGCAAGACUAAAACAUAAAGGAAUUGACGGGGACCCGCACAAGCGGUGGAGCGUGUUGUUUAAUUCGAUGGUAAACGAAGAACCUUACCCAGGCUUGACAUCCUGCGAAUCUUUCCGAAAGGAGAGAGUGCUUUAUUGAGCGCAGUGACAGGUGCUGCAUGGCCGUCGUCAGCUCGUGUCGUGAGAUGUUAGGUUAAGUCCUUCAACGAGCGCAACCCUUGUGAUUAGUUGAAUUUUUCUAAUCAAACUGCCCUGGCAACAGGGAGGAAGGAGGGGAUGAUGUCAGGUCAGUAUUGCCCUUACGUCUGGGGCUACAAACACGCUACAAUGGCCGGUACAGAGGGCAGCCAAGUCGCAAGACGGAGCAAAUCCCAUCAAAGCCGGUCUCAGUUCGGAUUGGAGGCUGAAACUCGCCUCCAUGAAGUUGGAAUCGCUAGUAACGGUAGGUCAGCUAUACUACCGUGAAUACGUUCCCGGGUCUUGUACACACCGCCCGUCAAGCCAUGAAAGUCGUGAGUACCUGACGUGUGAGCUUCGUCUCGCCCUAAGGUAAGCAAGA
rnacentral:rRNA from 1 species